rnacentral:rRNA from 1 species
AUUGAACGCUGGCGGCAGGCCUAACACAUGCAAGUCGAGCGGGGUGAUGGUGCUUGCACUAUCACUUAGCGGCGGACGGGUGAGUAAUGCUUAGGAAUCUGCCCAUUAGUGGGGGACAACAUCUCGAAAGGGAUGCUAAUACCGCAUACGUCCUACGGGAGAAAGCAGGGGAUCACUUGUGACCUUGCGCUAAUAGAUGAGCCUAAGUCGGAUUAGCUAGUUGGUGGGGUAAAGGCCUACCAAGGCGACGAUCUGUAGCGGGUCUGAGAGGAUGAUCCGCCACACUGGGACUGAGACACGGCCCAGACUCCUACGGGAGGCAGCAGUGGGGAAUAUUGGGCAAUGGGGGGAACCCUGAUCCAGCCAUGCCGCGUGUGUGAAGAAGGCCUUAUGGUUGUAAAGCACUUUAAGCGAGGAGGAGGCUCUUUUGGUUAAUACCCAAGAUGAGUGGACGUUACUCGCAGAAUAAGCACCGGCUAACUCUGUGCCAGCCGCCGCGGUAA